rnacentral:lncRNA from 1 species
AAAAAACACGGAGUUAUGUGCUAGGAGUCGGGUAAGAAAAAAAACACGGAGGUUUUCUUAUGUUUCUUCUCCUUUUUGAAGUCCUCAAACUCUCCCAGUCUACUCUGAUAAAUCUCGUACCCAGCCAUAUCUAACUCCCUAAAUCUCAUUGCCAACCAUAUCUCUCUCCCUAAAUGUCUCAUAUCCACCCUUAAUAUCUUAUACACGAGCCUAAAUCUCUCAUACCGAGUCAAGCCCUAAUCGCACAUAGGAACUGCAUCUGAUGGGAGGCGAAAUUAGUCGAAAUUAGUCGGUGGGGGAUUUUAGGACCGAAAUCAGCCUAAAUCUCUCAUACCAAGUCAAGCCCUAAUUUUGAUGACAGAGGGUUUAGAUCUGCAUCUGAUGUGAGGCGGAAUCAUUCGGUGGGGGAUUUUAGGAGCGGUGGAGGGGGCGAAUUGUUCAGACUCACGACGAACUUGGAAUUGUCAGGUACGUUUUCUUUUGUCUUUGAUCUGUGUUUUAGGCUUAGUAUUAACUAUUGUUUGUUUGUUUGUUUUUGUUUGUUUUUCUUCUUUUUGAUUGUGAUAAUUUCAGAUAGUGUGAAUCUCUGUCGAUGAUUCGAUAAUUAGGUAACUUUUUUUCUGUUAUAUUUGUUCGAGCGCCAUUCCAUUUUUUAUUUUUUUUAAAAAAAUUUGUUUGCUGGUAAUUUGACUAUGAGUUUGAUUAUAUGAGUGGAGUCGAACUUUUUGCAGGAGAUGAUGAUAUCUUUGUGAGUUUUCCAGAUUGCUUCUAAUGUGGGAUGUUGUGAAUGUUUUGCACUACUUAGGUAUGUAAUUGGAAUCUCUCUGUUCAUAAGUUCUAGGAAUGGGUGAUACAGUAGAUGGCAACCUCUUUUUUGUUUCAGUGGUUGCAUCAUUGUCGAAUGGUAAUGCAAAUACUUUAGUGUAGUUACUGACCGUAUCGUAUGCUCUAGCUAUGUAUAUCGAAUGUUUUAUUUUGACUACAUGAAUUUCUAUCUUGUGGAAGUAGAUCACAGUACUUAUUCCACUCUCUUUCCUUUCUGUUUUUGGUUGAGGACAUUCAAAUUAUUGUGCUGUUUGUUUAGCCUUACUGGACAUCUUGGUUAAAUUGUGGAAAUUCUUUGGCUCGUUUAACAUGUGUUCUGGUUAAUUUAUUGAUUAAAAUAUUGAAGCAGUCCUCUGAUUUUGCUAACAAUCUAAUUUCUAUAGGUUCUCAUGUAGGUCUAUUUAUAUUUUGUCAAUUAGAAGUAUGGAUGGCAGUUUACUGAGUGCCAAAGGUCUACAGUUUUGGAUGCCAAAGGCCAGAAUCAGAAUUUGAAGGUGAAUGGUUCCCAUUCUUUCCCCCUCAUACCCCCCCAGGAUCAGGUUGACUUUCCCCUUUUCAGUUUUAAUUGUGGAUGGCAAAAUCCAAAUCGUCGAGGUGAAUGUCCCCGGUGCCCACCCCUUCCUACACUAGUAGAAGAAUGUUACUCUGAUGUAAUCUAGAUUUUGUAAUGAGGUGUCUUCUAAAUUCUUAUAUGGAACUUCCUACACUAGUAGAAGAAUGUUACUUUGAUCUAUUCUAGAUUUUGUAAUGAGGUGUCUUCUAAAUUCUUAUAUGGNNNNNN